rnacentral:rRNA from 1 species
UACGUAGGGGGCAAGCGUUGUCCGGAAUCAUUGGGCGUAAAGAGCGUGUAGGCGGCCAGAUAAGUCCGCUGUGAAAACUCGAGGCUCAACUUCGAGCUGUCGGUGGAAACUAUUUGGCUAGAGUCCGGAAGAGGAGAGUGGAAUUCCUGGUGUAGCGGUGAAAUGCGCAGAUAUCAGGAGGAACACCAAUGGCGAAGGCAGCUCGCUGGGACGUCACUGACGCUGAGACGCGAAAGCGUGGGGAGCAAACAGG